rnacentral:sRNA from 1 species
CAGACCCUUCCUGGAUAUGGUGUACCAUGCGCUGGACAGCCCAGAUGAUGAUUACCAUGCCCUGUUCGUGCUCUGCCUCCUCUAUGCCAUGUCUCAUAAUAAAGGCAUGGAUCCUGAAAAAUUAGAGCGAAUCCAGCUCCCUGUGCCAAAUGCGGCCGAGAAGACCACCUACAACCACCCACUGGCUGAAAGACUCAUCAGGAUCAUGAACAACGCUGCCCAGCCAGAUGGGAGGAUCCGGCUGGCGACGCUGGAGCUGAGCUGCCUGCUUCUGAAGCAGCAAGUCCUGACGAGUGCUGGCUGCAUCAUGAAGGACGUGCACCUGGCCUGCCUGGAGGGUGCGAGAGAAGAAAGUGUUCACCUUGUACGACAUUUUUAUAAGGUAAUUGGCAGAGCACAGAUGGACAGCAGCAUGGUGUGUCUUGUAGAAGCAGGAGUGUGGUGUCUGGUUCUAUGCAGAUAAACGUUAUAUGUCUUCAGUUAUUUUUUAUGCCUAUAAUUACUGAAUAAAAAUGCUCAAUUUAUAGUCUC